rnacentral:rRNA from 1 species
AUUGAACGCUGGCGGCAGGCCUAACACAUGCAAGUCGAACGAGUGGCGGACGGGUGAGUAAUGUCUGGGAAACUGCCUGAUGGAGGGGGAUAACUACUGGAAACGGUAGCUAAUACCGCAUACCAUCGGAUGUGCCCAGAUGGGAUUAGCUAGUAGGUGGGGUAAAGGCUCACCUAGGCGACGAUCCCUAGCUGGUCUGAGAGGAUGACCAGCCUACAUGUAACGGAGACAAGCACCAGACGCCUACGGAAGGCAGCAUUGGGGAAUAUUGCACAAUGGGCGCAAGCCUGAUGCAGCCAUGCCGCGGUUAUUAUGAAGGCCUUCGGGUUGUAAAUUACUUUCAGCGGGGAGGCGUUACCCGCAGAAGAAGCACCGGCUAACUCCGUGCCAGCAGCCGCGGUAAUAC